GCCGAAGUGGUGGAAUUGGUAGACGCAGCGGACUCAAAAUCCGCCGGAGGCAACUCUGUGGGGGUUCAAGUCCCCCCUUCGGCA
rnacentral:tRNA from 1 species